UACGGAGGGGGCUAGCGUUGUUCGGAAUUACUGGGCGUAAGCGUACGUAGGCGGCUUUGUAAGUUAGAGGUGAAAGCCCGGGGCUCAACCCCGGAAUUGCCUUUAAGACUGCAUCGCUUGAACGUCGGAGAGGUGAGUGGAAUUCCGAGUGUAGAGGUGAAAUUCGUAGAUAUUCGGAAGAACACCAGUGGCGAAGGCGGCUCACUGGACGACUGUUGACGCUGAGGUACGAAAGCGUGGGGAGCAAACAGG
rnacentral:rRNA from 1 species